CGGUAAGACGGAGGGGGCAAGCGUUGUCCGGACUCACUGGGCGUAAAGGGUGCGCAGGCGGUGCCGUGCGUCGGCGCUGAAAGCGCCCGGCUUAACCGGGCGAGGUGCGGCGAUACGACGGCACUGGAGGCAGGUAGAGGUUGGCGGAAUUCCGGGUGUAGUGGUGAAAUGCGUAGAGAUCCGGAGGAACGUCGGUGGCGUAAGCGGCCAACUGGGCCUGACCUGACGCUGAGGCACGAAAGCGUGGGGAGCGAACCGGAUUAGAUACCCGGGUAGUCCACGCCGUAAACGAUGUCGGCUCGGUGUGUGAUGCUAUUACGGUGUCGCGUGCCCAAGCUCACGCGGUAAGCCGACCGCCUGGGGACUACGGCCGCAAGGCUAAAACUCAAAGGAAUUGACGGGGGCCCGCACAAGCAGCGGAGCGUGUGGUUUAAUUCGACGCAACGCGAAGAACCUUACCCAGAUUUGACAUGCGACUGCAAGCGCACGGAAACGUGUGACCUUCGAGGGUGUCGCACAGGUGCUGCAUGGCUGUCGUCAGCUCGUGUCGUGAGAUGUUGGGUUAAGUCCCGCAACGAGCGCAACCCUCGCCGUCAGUUAUCAGUGUCUGGCGGGACUGCCGGCUGUAUGGUCGGAGGAAGGCGGGGAUGACGUCAAGUCCGCAUGGCCCGGACGUCUGGGGCGACACACACGCUACAAUGACCAGCACAGCACGCUGCAAACCCGCAAGGGGGAGCUAAUCGCCAAAGCUGGUCUCAGUGCAGAUCGGGGGCUGCAACUCGCCCCCGUAAGGCGGAGUUGCUAGUAACCGCGUAUCAGCCAUGGCGCGGUGAAUACGUACCCGGGCCUUGCA
rnacentral:rRNA from 1 species